GUACUUCAUAAUGACCUAUUUGUUAGGUGGUCCUGGAGCAGACAUUGAUAUCUUAUGUGAAGCGAGAGGAUGAUUUCUUUGGGACACUACAUGACAUAUUGGCCCAAAUGGAGAAGUGACUGAACCGCAACCUGUACCUGAUGCACGUGUAGCUGUUAUGAAAUUUAAGUUCCAUGGAAUGGCAAUUGACCUUCUCUAUGCCAGUGUAUCGCUUUCAGUAAUGCCACCAGACUGGUAAGAUUCUCAAGAAGUAUGACAAGAGAACUGGGCCCCCUAUCCGUCUUCCGUUUAUUCAAAAUGUGCUGCUUCAACCUUUUUUCACCACUGACCUCAUGUACCAGCUUGUGAAGCAGUGUGAGGUCAUGCUCGACCAGCUGUCAUCUGUAUAAAACGAAGAUGGAAAAGAAGAUAUCAACAUGAUACAAGCCUUUUAACCCCAGUUCUUCCUUCGGUAGCAGCGGAUGCAUUCCAGAGCUUGAUGAGAUUGAGUUCAUGGCGAGCAUGUAGAGUACAUGAAGACCUUGAUAAGAUAGAUUAAAACUUCCGAGCAAAUGUUAUGUUUUGUUAUACUUGGUGAUGUGAACGUAUCAUUGGUACAACAUCUUAUUGUGUAAUCUGAAAUAUUAGUGAAACAUAUUUUUAAUUUUUA